CACUCCUACGGGAGGCAGCAGUGGGGAAUUUUGGACAAUGGGCGAAAGCCUGAUCCAGCAAUGCCGCGUGUGUGAAGAAGGCCUUCGGGUUGUAAAGCACUUUUGUCCGGAAAGAAAUCCUUGGCUCUAAUACAGUCGGGGGAUGACGGUACCGGAAGAAUAAGCACCGGCUAACUACGUGCCAGCAGCCGCGGUAAUACGUAGGGUGCGAGCGUUAAUCGGAAUUACUGGGCGUAAAGCGUGCGCAGGCGGUUUGCUAAGACCGAUGUGAAAUCCCCGGGCUCAACCUGGGAACUGCAUUGGUGACUGGCAGGCUAGAGUAUGGCAGAGGGGGGUAGAAUUCCACGUGUAGCAGUGAAAUGCGUAGAGAUGUGGAGGAAUACCGAUGGCGAAGGCAGCCCCCUGGGCCAAUACUGACGCUCAUGCACGAAAGCGUGGGGAGCAAACAGGAUUAGAAACCCUUGUAGUCCCA
rnacentral:rRNA from 1 species